AUGGGGUGACUGCGUACCUUUUGUAUAAUGGGUCAGCGACUUAUAUUCUGUAGCAAGGUUAACCGUAUAGGGGAGCCGUAGGGAAACCGAGUCUUAACUGGGCGAAUGAGUUGCAGGGUAUAGACCCGAAACCCGGUGAUCUAUCCAUGGGCAGGUUGAAGGUUGGGUAACACUAACUGGAGGACCGAACCGACUAAUGUUGAAAAAUUAGCGGAUGACUUGUGGAUGGGGGUGAAAGGCCAAUCAAACCGGGAGAUAGCUGGUUCUCCCCGAAAGCUAUUUAGGUAGCGCCUCGUGAACUCAUCUUCGGGGGUAGAGCACUGUUUCGACUAGGGGGUCAUCCCGACUUACCAACUCGAUGCAAACUGCGAAUACCGAAGAAUGUUAUCACGGGAGACACACGGCGGGUGCUAACGUCCGUCGUGAAGAGGGAAACAACCCAGACCGCCAGCUAAGGUCCCAAAGUCAUGGUUAAGUGGGAAACGAAGUGGGAAGGCUCAGACAGCCAGGAUGUUGGCUUAGAAGCAGCCAUCAUUUAAAGAAAGCGUAAUAGCUCACUGGUCGAGUCGGCCCGCGCGGAAGAUGUAACGGGGCUAAACCAUGCACCGAAGCUGCGGCAGCGACACAAAGUGUUGUUGGGUAGGGGAGCGUUCUGUAAGCCUGCGAAGGUGUACUGUGAGGUAUGCUGGAGGUAUCAGAAGUGCGAAUGCUGACAUAAGUAACGAUAAUGCGGGUGAAAAACCCGCACGCCGGAAGACCAAGGGUUCCUGUCCAACGUUAAUCGGGGCAGGGUGAGUCGACCCCUAAGGCGAGGCUGAAAAGCGUAGUCGAUGGGAAACGGGUUAAUAUUCCCGUACUGGUGGUAACUGCGAUGGGGGAACGGAGAAGGCUAGGUUGUCCGGGCGACGGUCGUCCCGGUUCAAGCAGGUAGGCAGAGUGAUUAGGCAAAUCCGGUCACUUAAUGCUGAGAUGUGAUGACGAACCACCAAGGUGGUGAAGCAAUUGAUGCCCCGCUUCCAGGAAAAGCCUCUAAGCUUCAGGUUACCAACAAUCGUACCCCAAACCGACACAGGUGGUCAGGUAGAGAAUACUCAGGCGCUUGAGAGAACUCGGGUGAAGGAACUAGGCAAAAUGGUGCCGUAACUUCGGGAGAAGGCACGCUGGCGGUAGGUAAAGUCCCU
rnacentral:rRNA from 1 species